GAAGUUGGUCGGAUGGUCGCUGGAAGGUUUACCUUUCAGAGGAAAGUCCGGGCUCCACAGAGCAAAGUGCUAGCUAACAGCUAGGUAUGGUGACAUAACGGAAAGUGCUGCAGAGAUUUAAACCGCCUAUUUCGAUAGGUAAGGGUGAGAAGGUGUGGUAAGAGCGCACCGCGCGUUUGGUGACAACCGUGGCAAGGUAAACCCCACUUGGAGCAAGCUCAAAUAGGCUACCAUUGGUGCGGCUCGCACAAGGUAGCGGGUAGAGU
rnacentral:RNase_P_RNA from 1 species